rnacentral:misc_RNA from 1 species
UGUGACAGUCAAAGACUAGCUCAAUUUUGCAUUCCCACUCAAGGUAAACAUCUAGAUCAUUCUUUCUUUGGAAAGAUAGAAUUUUCCUUUUGAUGUUUCCAAUGUUUCGAUCAACACCAUCUCUACCCCUGUCAUUUCUUGUUGGCCUCCUUUCAUGCCUUUCUCUCCUCUGAUAAAAUCUGCCCUUAUUUAUGAUUGAAGCCCGAUCAUCAUUAUUUUCAUCUUUUCCAUCUUGCUCAUCUUCAAACUCUUCAGGGGGAGAGUUAUUGUUGUUGUGUAUAGCUUGCCUUCUAGCAUUAGACCUAUCCCUUUGCAGGUUACCUAUAGUAGCAUUUUGCCUAUUUAGUCUAGCCUCUUGCCUUUCCAUUUGAUUCCUCAUGUCUCCAAGCAUCAAAGCAAUAGCUUAUACUGUUGUUGAAUAGCUUGCAUUAUGAAUAAUUGAUCUGAUUUCUCUUCUUUACUAUUUUUGUGUGACAUAAUCGUAAAACCUACAAAAGAAUGUUAGCAAAUAUCCUGACAACGCUCCCUCGCGUAUUCACACUCAAUCAAUGUCACUCCACUGGU